rnacentral:tRNA from 1 species
GUUCUUGUAGUUAAAGCAUAACAGUGGCUUUUCAAGCCACCAAUCCUGGUUAGAGUCCUGGCAAGAAUU